UAUUGGUCAAUGGCCGGAAGGCUGAACCAGCCAUGCCGCGUGAAGGUCAGUGCCCUAUGGGCGUUAAACUUCUUUUGUGCGGGAGCAANNAGGUCCACGUGUGGGCCGACGAGAGUACCUUAUGAAUAAGGAUCGGCUAACUCCGUGCCAGCAGCCGCGGUAAUACGGAGGAUCCGAGCGUUAUCCGGAUUUAUUGGGUUUAAAGGGAGCGUAGGCGGGUUGUUAAGUCAGUUGUGAAAGUUUGCGGCUCAACCGUAAAAUUGCAGUUGAUACUGGCAUCCUUGAGUACAGUAGAGGUAGGCGGAAUUCGUGGUGUAGCGGUGAAAUGCUUAGAUAUCACGAAGAACUCCGAUUGCGAAGGCAGCUCACUAGACUGCAACUGACACUGAUGCUCGAAAGUGUGGGUAUCAAACAG
rnacentral:rRNA from 1 species